rnacentral:rRNA from 1 species
UACAGAGGUCUCAAGCGUUGUUCGGAUUCAUUGAGCGUAAAGGGUGUGUAGGUGGCGCGCUAAGUCGGGUGUGAAAUUUCGGAGCUUAACUCCGAAACUGCAUUCGAUACUGGCGUGCUUGAGGACUGGAGAGGAGACUGGAAUUCAUGGUGUAGCAGUGAAAUGCGUAGAGAUCAUGAGGAAGACCAGUGGCGACGGCGGGUCUCUGGACAGUUCCUGACACUGAGACACGAAGGCCAGGGGAGCAAACGGG